ensembl:lncRNA
AUGAUUAGGAACUAUGAAGAAGGCGGGGUUAAGGCAAUUGAUUUUGAAUGCAUUGAUGGUACAAUCAAAAUCAACUGGUUAAAACAAUUUCUAAAUAAAAAAACACAAAUUUGGUUUCACAUUCCCAACAAUAUCUUUAUGAAACUUGGUGGCAUCAAAUUUCUCCUUAGUUGUGACUAUGACCUCAAGAUACUUCCCUAUAAAAUCUCUUCAUUUCAUUAUCAAACUCUGUUUUAUUGGAAAAUGAUAUACAAACAUAAUUUUAGUCCCCACAAUAUCCCAAUUUGGAACUGCAGGUAUAUUUUACAUAAUCGUAAAUCUCUGUUUAUACAAAACUGGUUAGAUAAAGGCAUUUGGUCUGUUUCUCAUUUACUGGACUGUAAUGGCAACUUACUCUCAUUCGAGGAUUUUUGUGCUAAAUUUAAUAUUAUAGACAAACAGCAAUAUAAAAAAGUUUUUAAUGCAAUACCUAAGCAAGUUCUUUUAAUGAUAUCUCACCGGCAUCGAGACUGUUCGACUCCAAAGCUUACUUCGCUUUUGGUACAAGGGAGUAAUUUGUUUGAAGGUAAAAUAAGUAACCUCGAUAUUAGACAAAUAUUUAACAAAGAACUGUACCCGUUCUCUAGAUCUUACAACUCAAUCUCCAGGUUUUUUUCCAAAAAAGACGCUGAAUGUUUAAGAUCCUUUUUCUUUAAAUUUCCAAUUGUGCCAAAGGUUAAGGAAGUGCACUACAAGGUCCUAAAUGGAAUCUAUCCAUCUUCUGAAUUUCUUUCUAAGAGAUUUGGUUUUGACUGUAAGAACUGUGUGUUUUGUACCAAUAACGCAGAAACAACAGAUCAUAUGUUCUAUGAUUGUAUUUACAUCAAUGCCCUCUGGAGUGAUUUAUUCCAUUGGUUGUCUAAAUAUCUGCCUGUUCCUGUUUUAAAGAAAGAAAAUGUUUUAUAUGGUUUUAUUGUCAAAGAUAACUGUCACAAUAUGUUGAUCAACUCCAUAGUAAUACUUGGAAAAUUCUUCAUACAUAAGAACAGAUUUAUGAAAUCCAUUCCCAAAUUUUUUGCUUUUCACAAAGAAUUGUACUGUAACUUUUCAUCUCUGAAACACAUGAAAGGAAAGAAUGCUGUGAAACUAUGUACAACGAUAGAUGAUCUCGAAAUGCUAAAAAAUCCCUAG